UCUUAUGGAUGAGCAAAGAAAGUGGUUUCUUGAGAUGGAAUCUACUCCUGGUGAAGAUGCUGUGAG
rnacentral:pre_miRNA from 1 species